AUGACAACACAAUGCAAAGAAGAGGACAGGAAACUUCUGCUCUUUAUAUCACUGUGGUGGACUUUCGGCAGCGGCACCAGACUGAAUGUUGGCAUCAACAGUCCCCCUAAAGUGAGCAUCCUGCCGCCGUCCAGUGAAGAGAUUUCCACAAAGCAAACAGCAACACUGAUGUGUGUGGCCAACAAGGGCUUCCCCUCAGACUGGAGUCUGAACUGGAAGGUGGACGGGAUCAGCAGCAGGUCUCAGUACAGCAGUGUUGCUCUCCUGGAGAAGGACGGUCUGUACAGCUGGAGCAGCAGUCUGACUCUCUCUGAGCAGGAGUGGAGCUCAGUGAUCUCAGUCAGCUGUGAGCUCACACAGAAAGACCAGCGUGACAUGGCCGCGGGAAGUGGGGGUGCUGCGGGCUGCAGGAUGACGUGA